rnacentral:rRNA from 1 species
AGUUCGGAUUGUAGUCUGCAACCCGACUACAUGAAGCUGGAAUCGCUAGUAAUCGCAGGUCAGCAUACUGCGGUGAAUACGUUCCCGGGUCUUGUACACACCGCCCGUCACACCAUGGGAGCCGGAAAUGCCCGAAGCCGGUGACCCAACCUUAGGGAGGGAGCUGUCGAAGGUGGAGCCGGUAACUGGGGUGAAGUCGUAACAAGGUACC